CGCCCCCAGCGAUGCCGCUUCUGGCCAGGCCCCGCCUCCCAACAGCCAGCCUGCUGUAGCAGCCGCGUAAUUCAAUGGCCUUCCGAAGCCCUGCCUUGAACACGAAGCUCCUGAGGGGCGUCCAGGACACCAUCGGGCUUUAGCUCAGUGGUGCCGCGUUGGCCUUGCAAGGGCAAGGUUCUGAGUUCGAUGCCCAGUACCAAAAAAAAAAAAAGGACACCAGCAAGGAAGUGAAAAGACAAUCACAGAAACUUUCUGCGAGCCAGAUGCAAGCGUUCUGUGUUUCUCUGCAUCCUGCUCCAGAAAUGCCCCACGAACGCGGCUGUCUUGACCGCACUGCCCCAUGCAGCUUCAGUGCGUCCUGAGCUCUCUAAAGCAGCUCCCUUCACCCCUGGGGACCUGCGUAGGGCUCGCAGGACCCCGUGCACGGCCACCACCCCGGGCAGAGGGAUCUAGACCUGACUUGGAAGCCAGCGCCCUUGCACCUUGUGGAGGUCCACAUGCACAGCCAGGCUGCAGUCGAUUCCCUCCUGUUCCUCCCUCGCUGGGCUGUGUGUGCGCAUGCGUAAGGUUGGGGCCGUCUUUGCCCACAGCUGGACUUGUCACCCCGUGUCACCAUGGCCUUCGCUGUCCUCCAGGCUCCUGGAAUAGGAGCCAUUUCUCUCCUCUGUGAUCUCGCUGCUUCUCGCGAUGGAUUCGGGACGGCUUCCUUAGAGGCCUCGCCUAGUUUUGACAGCCUUACGUGAGCUUUACAGAUCCCAGGCGCAGUCAGUUUCUGGAAGAGGGAAAGUAGACAUUGGCGGGGGUCUCCACCAAGAGCCAUGAGAACAAGCUGCAUAAAGCAAGCCCGGAGAGCGCCUCAUUGCAUGGCCAAAUUUGUUCUUAAAUGUGACCUAAUAUUGCUGGGCAGCUGGCUUUUGGCUGAGGCUGGGGAAACUUCAAUUAAAUUCCUGUUUUAGGGCCCAAACUUACAGAUUAUUAAUGAAAGCUCUCGGCUGGGCUUACUGCAUCCGUUGUGAGAAAGACUAAAUGAAUGGACAGACACGCAAACUCACACAUGCAUGCACACUCAGGCACGGGGCUGGAGCAGGGAGCGGGACACUGGGACAUGUUUCCCAUCCAGCCACCGUGGAGUCCCAGGCUGUGCCUCCUUCCCUGCCCUCCUCCUCCUCUCUGGCCCCCGAUUCCUUCCGGAGCUGUCCCUACCCAACUGCCCGGGCUCCCUCCUUCAGUGCCCCUCAGGGCAGGAGGAAGAGGUCUUCGGCCCUGAGAACCACCAGUGUUGAGGAUCUGGACCUCAGGCGAAUGCUGCAGCCCUUCUGAGUCUUUGUGGUGAACUUCAGAGAGCUCAAUCCACGCUUUAGAUGCUGCAGCUUAUUUAACCCAAAUAUCCAAAAUAGCAUUUCGCCACUUAAUCAUGUACAUGAAAUCUUCUGAGAAUGCCUGUAUUUCCUUCUGUCUUAGACUUCUCGAGUAUCUUUUAUACUGUACUUGCAAUAGAUCCCCAAACAGAUUACAUUCCCAUCGGAGCUGUGCCGUCUGUGUAUGAAUCUCGUGAACCUAACAGCUGAGGAGUGACACCCACACACCCAAGAGGUUCGAAAGAUACCCGAGUUUUCCAAUGGCUGGACAUCAGCUUUAA